rnacentral:rRNA from 1 species
AUUGAACGCUGGCGGCAUGCCUUACACAUGCAAGUCGAACGGUAACGCGGGGCAACCUGGCGACAAGUGGCGAACGGGUGAGUAAUGUAUCGGAACGUGCCCAGUUGUGGGGGAUAACUGCUCGAAAGAGCAGCUAAUACCGCAUACGACCUGAGGGUGAAAGCGGGGGAUCGCAAGACCUCGCGCAAUCGGAGCGGCCGAUAUCAGAUUAGGUAGUUGGUGGGGUAAAGGCCCACCAAGCCAACGAUCUGUAGCUGGUCUGAGAGGACGACCAGCCACACUGGGACUGAGACACGGCCCAGACUCCUACGGGAGGCAGCAGUGGGGAAUUUUGGACAAUGGACGCAAGUCUGAUCCAGCCAUGCCGCGUGCGGGAAGAAGGCCUUCGGGUUGUAAACCGCUUUUGUCAGGGAAGAAAAGGGCGACUUUAAUACAGUUGCCUCAUGACGGUACCUGAAGAAUAAGCACCGGCUAACUACGUGCCAGCCGCCGCAGUAACAC